UCGGGUAUGGUGUAACGGCUAACAUUGCCGCCUCUCAUUUAAAUACUUUGAAACGUCGCGCGGCAGCUCGGGGUUCGAUUCCCCGUACCCGAA